UAGUUUCCUAAUUUAAACGGAAAUCGACAGUGCAAAUUUUGGUUCCCACAAUAAUCGUACUUAAAUGAAUAGGAAACGCUUAAAACCAAAUCACCAAGUUUUAAAAUGAAAUAACUUAAAGAAAACCAAACACCCGAAGAGCCAGCACCACAUCGAGACGACUACUCCUGCACUUCCUCGAACUCACCUGAAAAGAAAGGAGGGCUGAGUAUUUCGACAAAUACUCAGUGAGGGAAGCUCUGGGAGCCCUGAAAU
rnacentral:lncRNA from 1 species